GAUAAACGCUGGCGGCGUGCAUGAGACAUGCAAGUCGAACGAAGGAUCGGGCUUGCUCGAUCCUUAGUGGCGGACGGCUGAGUAACGCGUAGGUGACCCACCCCGAAGUGGGGAAUAACUGCCCGAAAGGGUGGCUAAUACCGCAUGUGGUCGCACGUUCAUUCGUGCGAGUAAAGCCGCAAGGCGCUUCGGGAGGGGCCUGCGUCCGAUUAGCUCGUUGGUGGGGUAAUGGCUUACCAAGGCGACGAUCGGUAGGUGGUCUGAGAGGACGAUCACCCAGACUGGGACUGAGACACGGCCCAGACUCCUACGGGAGGCAGCAGUCGGGAAUUUUGCUCAAUGGGGGAAACCCUGAAGCAGCAGCGCCGCGUGAGGGAUGAAGGCCUUCGGGUUGUAAACCUCUUUUGUCAGGGACGAUGAUGACGGUACCUGGCGAAUAAGCCACGGCUAACUACGUG
rnacentral:rRNA from 1 species